CAAAACCAAUAAAACGAACACAUUGGAGACAUUACAGGACUUCAAAAGAAGAUAAUAGUUAAACCAGAAUGGGCAUCAUAGUGAAUCUUAUUGUCUUCACAGUUGUUGCCUAUACUCUCAAACUUGGUACUAUCAAGCAAAACAGAAUGGAGGAAAAUCAGUCAAAACAAGAUGGUGAGAGCGAUACAGGGCUUCAAAUCAAGUUAAUAGGAAAUCAAAGUGGGUUACUAUAAUAUAUCCUGCUAUUUUCUCCCUUAAUUAAAAAGACAAAAAUAAAAAAAUAAUAAAAGAGGACAUAACAACAAAACAGCACAGGUCAGAACAUAACCAUUUAAGCAAAAUAGUGUUUCACCACAAGAUAUCUUGACAUAAAGGUAGUUACCAUAGUGUCUCUUUCCUUGAAAUCUUUGAGUACAACUUUGUUGGGAGCCGUGGCACUGUCAAGUCAUCAGACGCGGUGAUUGCGAGGCCUGUGGGAAAGUACAAAAGCCUGGGCUAGAUUACCCCUCUCAUCGAGCCCGCCUGUGUGGCACCUGUUUCUUAUCACCCCACUAAGUUCCCGCCUCACAGGGUAGUCUGCCUAGCUAUUAAUCCUAUAUAUAGCCAGUGCCUCCACCCCCGAGAGAGAGAGAGACUGAAGCACAAAAGGAGCCGCGGGGAGCGGACCAGUAGAGGCUUCGGGGCAGACUGAAGCACGGAAGGAGCCGCGGAGAGCGGACCGGUAGAGGCUUCGGGGCAGACUGUAUAAGGAGAGAAUAAAGAAAAGCCUGACCACCGCCAGACCUUGUCGUGUGUCUUUCCUGCCGGCCGGGAGCGACAUCGACAUUUGGAGGCCCGCACGGGGAUUGAUCAACCCCGAGACGCGGCGGUGGACUGCAUUCUCCUACACAGUGCUGCAGCUGCAGGACAGGAAUCGGGACGAGAACCAAUGUGGGUCCCAGAGAGGUUGACGCGACAAGUCCCUCGACUGAAGAUCAGGCCUGUUCCACCAGAGGCCAACCGCAGACCCAACAACAAGAUGAGCCCUAAAAGAACUGCAGGACAAUCCCUUUUUGGGGGCCUGGAACGGCUUGCUCCCCUAUGUGCUACCCUUGUAUACACAUGGCUCGCUCGCAUGGCCUACGACCGCGUUUAAAAGUGACAGGCUUCCCACAUUCUCCUCCCUAGACAACAACAUGUAGCAGGGUGGGUGAGUCAAUGACGGGUAAGAGCGUGCCUCCCCAGCACGACUCAACCUAAGCCAGGCCCUACCCCGUUCCGCUCGAAAGCCGCUGGAUUGUUAGAUAAAUUUCUCUCCGAGGGGAUUCGUGGAGAGAAAUGAGUGCAUGCCUAUGUGCAACCAGGUUCCGUCCGGUUCAUUCCUGGCCCUAGAAAAAAGGACGAGGGCCUCAGGGCCUUGGUGGACCCUGGGACGGCCGACCAGGGUCUACGCUAAGGGCCUACGGUGGGCCUCAGUUCGGGGCAUAGGCCUCUGCACUCUAUCCAGGACGGGCUGCGAUGCGCGUAGCCAUCAUUUAAAAUAAAAUAGGGGGAGAUGUUGGGAGCCGUGGCACUGUCAAGUCAUCAGACGCGGUGAUUGCGAGGCCUGUGGGAAAGUACAAAAGCCUGGGCUAGAUUACCCCUCUCAUCGAGCCCGCCUGUGUGGCACCUGUUUCUUAUCACCCCACUAAGUUCCCGCCUCACAGGGUAGUCUGCCUAGCUAUUAAUCCUAUAUAUAGCCAGUGCCUCCACCCCCGAGAGAGAGAGAGACUGAAGCACAAAAGGAGCCGCGGGGAGCGGACCAGUAGAGGCUUCGGGGCAGACUGAAGCACGGAAGGAGCCGCGGAGAGCGGACCGGUAGAGGCUUCGGGGCAGACUGUAUAAGGAGAGAAUAAAGAAAAGCCUGACCACCGCCA